rnacentral:lncRNA from 10 species
AUGCAAACUGAAUUCAGCCAGUGUGUGAAGAGAAGACCCUUUCCCUUGUGUGGAGUUUGAAUCCCGUGUUCCUAGCCUUUGCAAAGCUCUACAUUAAGUCUAUAUCCUGCUCUUGAAGGAGUCCUGACGGGUGCCAGGUGUAUUUUUGUGCAAUGGGAACCAAUAAAACAGGUGUAUCUUGGGAACUGCCAUUGGAGUGAGAGAAAGAGAGGUUUUCUACAGUUGUAGAGUAGAUGAUAGCACUUUUAUAAACUGCAUCUGCUAGAAAAUAUUGAGCAAUAUCAAGUUUUCAUCCGCUGCUCCAAAUGCAGCAAGAGAACUGAGCUUUACCUCAAUACUCAAGAAGCUGCAAGACACCAUUGAGCAGAGAACAAAAAUUGAAACUGGGGACAUGUUCUGAAUCAGAGGCUAUGUCUACAUGUGCAGAGAAGAGUGACAAAUUUAUGCCACUGCUUAUUAUAAAGUGGACGAUCCAGUGUGGAACAUUCAAAUUGCAAGGGUGUUUGAGCUGCCCAUUAAUCUACAGGAAAGUUUAGACCAAGCCUUUCCAUUGCCCAGACUUAGAGAAAGAAGAAGCACUAAGCAAUCCAGGUGUCCUGGCCUUCACUAGUCUCAUGUGUUUGCUGAGUGAAAAAGCCAAAGAAUUCCC